CAAUGGUGCGGGCGUUACCGGAUUCCUGGGCGUAAGGGCGCGUAGGCGGUUUGGCAAGUCGCCUGUGAAAGCCCCCGGCUCAACUGGGGGAGGUCGGGCGAAACUGCUAGGCUGGAGGACGGCAGAGGAAGGUGGAACGACCGGAGUAGCGGUGAAAUGCGUAGAUACCGGUCGGUAUCCCGAUGGCGAAGGCAACCUUCUGGGUCGUUCCUGACGCUGAGGCGCGAAAGCGUGGGGAGCAAACCGGAUUAGAUACCCGGGUAGUCCACGCCCUAAACGAUGUGGGCUAGGUGUCGGGCGAGCAGUCGCUUGGUGCCGCAGCUAACGCGUUAAGCCCACCGCCUGGGUAGUACGGCCGCAAGGCUAAAACUCAAGGGAAUUGACGGGGCCCCGCACAAGCGGUGGAGCAUGUGGUUCAAUUCGAUGCAAACCGAAGAACCUUACCCGGGCUUGACAUGCUGGUGGUACUGACCCGAAAGGGAAGGGACCCAUGGCCUUCGGGCGCUUGGGAACCAGCACAGGUGCUGCAUGGCUGUCGUCAGCUCGUGUCGUGGGAUGUUGGGUUAAGUCCUGAAACGAGCGCAACCCCUGCCGCCCGUUGCCAACGGACCCUUCGGGGUGCCGGGGACUCAGGCGGGACUGCCGGCGAAUAGCCGGAGGAGGGAGGGGAUGAUGUCAAGUCCUCAUGGCCCUUAUGUCCGGGGCUACACACAUGCUACAGUGCCCAGCACAAUGGGUCGCCAACCCGCAAGGGGGAGCCAAUCCCAUCAAAACUGGGCAUGGUUCGGAUUGCAGGCUGCAACCCGCCUGCAUGAAGCCGGAAUCGCUAGUAAUCGCGGGUCAGCCAAACCGCGGUGAAUACGUACUCGGGGCUUGUACACACCGCCCGUA
rnacentral:rRNA from 1 species